AUAUCGUCAGAAAUUAUAUGUGCCAGGAUCAUACAAACUCAAAGUUCGUAAUGUGCUUGUAUGCUCUAGUGUAGGCUAUCCUUGUUUGUAAAACUGCAACGCUGUUGUGUGAUGGAGUGAAAUCUUUAACUCCAUCUGUUUGUGAUGUUUGUUAACGCAUUUGUUUUGUCUCUCAGGUGCUGUAAGGAGUGAGGUGCCCUUCCCUGAUAGGAGAAAAAACACCUAAACAAGGUAUAACCAUAUGGAACUAAUAAAUCCAUGAAGACCGAUCCCGUAGUGAUGCCCCCAGUCCCCCGCCCAGGUCCAGACAUGAUAAAAGAGUACAGCGCAGUGAUCUCAGCACAUGACAGGCACGAUGCAGUGACUGAGACUGUGUUCCAGAAAAAUGUCCUGAAACUACUGGUCGACAUCCGCCAUCGCCUGAAGGAAACCAGAAGGGAUCAUGAAAUUUGGUUCCAUAGCCACUGAGGUGUAUGUACAUCAAGGUGAACGUGUGUGAGCACCUCAAGCACGCGUCGCAAAGACUUGGAGGUGGAGGAUUCACUACGCCCCGAUGAGCCUACAGGACUUGAAUUAAGAGUUUUAAAGGGAUAGUUCACUUUAAAAUUAAUUUUUGAUAUGUUUUAGCUUACCUCAAGGGCAUCCAAGAUGUA